rnacentral:misc_RNA from 1 species
AGUUGCAGUAUGUGGCUUUUAUGGAGCCCUAGACUCUUUGGAGUAUAUUGACCAGAAAAAGAACAAGAACGAAAUAAAAGAAAUGGGAUUUACGAUUUAGAACAGAGAAAGAGGUGGACAACAGAGUCACAGUCAUGGCUAUGCCUUCCAUUAUUGUUAAAAAUGAAAAUACUCUUUAAUGACUAACUUGUAUAAAUUGAAGGUCAUUUCUGAUUGUUUUCUUUGUCAAAAAUUACGAUUAGAUUUAUCUACUAUCUUAUUCAAAGUACUUAAGAAAAAUUGGUAGUUUUAUUUUUUAUUUUUUGAGGUUGUUCUUGGUAUAUUGUGAAUGGAAAGUCCUUGCAAGUUUCAACUUCAUAAUUUUUGUUAGAUAUAUGCUCCUAAUCCUUGGUAGUUGGUAGAAUGUUAAUUCACCCUACGGUGAUGGUUCUUAACCCUUUCUUCUUGCCUAUUAAGCUGCCGACAUGCCAAAUGCUGGACAGUUGAUAUGCAUGCAUGAAUGCAUACGUGCACCUAUUGAUUUCUGGACUACUCAUAGUUAUAUGUAUACAGAAAACCCAAUCAGAAAUGUGAACUUUAAUUUUUUGAAAUGUUCAGGGGCAUUCUAUAAUAUAUGUUGUACUUCUAUUUGUUAAGUUGGUAUAUAUCUUAUGCGACUUCUUGCUUGCUUUGCUACGAAUCUAAGUUUCUUUGUAUGUGAAGCCAAUGGUUCUGUGCAGUCAAGUUGUCUGGUUUUUGAUACUUGCACAGGCAUCCUAGUGUUGUAAGCUCUACAACAAAUUGCAUAGGCUUGCCUGUUAUGAAAAAAGUUUAUUUGAUCAUAUUUGCCAAUAUCCAUGUAUGAAUUGUGUUGGUAUUAUUAUUAUUAUUUUCUUUUUGGUAUUUAUACUGCAAAAAAUAUGAGAAAAAGUUGAAUUCAAGACAAGCUAUUUAUUCAAUGUUCGAUAGAUGCAUCUCAUCUUCUGCAAUGGACGAUUGAGAUUGCAUCUUUUUGAGUUACUGGAGAGAGAAUUGUGUUAUUUUUUGUUAUAUAAAAAUAGGUAGAAUGAAAACUCUUAAGUAAUUUAUCUUCUUAGCGAGACAAGCCAGGCAUAAAUUAUGUCUUAUUCUUACAUGCAUGUAUGUUUGGGAUUAUAUUUUACAUCAUAGAGAUAACUAUUUUGUGCCGACAAAUUUAAUGGUGUCACAUGAUAACAUCAUAUGAUAAUUUGGAGAAGAAUUAUGAUUUUUUUUAUACAUUUACAUUUUUUAUUUACAUUUUAUUUAAAAUUUU